GCCUUCGUGGUGCAAUGGUAGCACACUCGGCGCGUAUUCGAGAGGACCAGGGUUCAAGUCUCAGUCAGGGCA
rnacentral:tRNA from 1 species